GACAGAGGCCUCGAGCGUUAGGCGGAAUCACUGGGCUUAAAGCGUGUGUAGGCGGGCCCGUAAGUGUCUUGUGAAAUCCCACGGCUCAACCGUGGAACUGCUGGGCAUACUGCGGGUCUUGGGCCAACUAGGGGCAGCCGGAACAAGCGGUGGAGCGGUGAAAUGCGUAGAUAUCAGGAGGAACACCGGUGGCGAAGGCGGUUCUCUGGGAAUGACCUGACGCUGAGGAGCGAAAGUGUGGGGAGCGAACAGG
rnacentral:rRNA from 1 species